rnacentral:rRNA from 1 species
GAAUGAACGCUGGCGGCGUGCCUAACACAUGCAAGUCGAGCGGGAUUUUCCGGAUUGAAGCUUCGGCAGAUUGAAGGAAAUGAGAGCGGCGGACGGGUGAGUAACGCGUAGGCAACCUGCCCUUUGCAGAGGGAUAGCCAUUGGAAACGAUGAUUAAAACCUCAUAAUGCCACGAAGUGACAUCGCUUUGUGGCCAAAGAUUUAUCGGCAAAGGAUGGGCCUGCGUCUGAUUAGCUGGCUGGUGAGGUAACGGCUCACCAAGGCGACGAUCAGUAGCCGACCUGAGAGGGUGAUUGGCCACAUUGGAGCUGAGACACGGUCCAA